rnacentral:rRNA from 1 species
UUGACCUCGGAUCAGGUAGGGAUACCCGCUGAACUUAAGCAUAUCAAUAAGCGGAGGAAAAGAAACCAACAGGGAUUGCCUCAGUAACGGCGAGUGAAGCGGCAACAGCUCAAAUUUGAAAUCUGGCCUCUUCGGGGUCCGAGUUGUAAUUUGUAGAGGGUGUUUCGGGCGCGAUGCCGGUCUAAGUUCCUUGGAACAGGACGUCGUAGAGGGUGAGAAUCCCGUAUGCGACCGGCGAUCAAGCCUGUGUGAAGCCCCUUCGACGAGUCGAG